AUGUGGUGUGGGCAAGCAUUCAUCAUUCAUUUGAAACGCGCCCAUGCUUGGUACAUGUAUUCCCCUUGCUGUUGACCAAAGUUUAUUAUCUCACCCCUCAACUU
rfam:Solanum tuberosum cultivar DM 1-3 516 R44 scf00458_2, whole genome shotgun sequence.